GUUGGGGUGUGAAGCCAGGACCUAUCAACUCUAUGAUCUUCACUAAGCCGGUACCAAAUAGGAUGGCCCAGACUGGAGUACGGAGUGGAUUCUACAGAGGCAUUGUGGGUCCAUUACCAGAUCCCUGACCUGACAAGCCCCUUUGUGGAAAGUGCCUUUGGGCUGGUGCAGGAGGGCAGUGUUCUGUCAUGUCAGCAGCCGGUUUUGACAACCCGGUACAUCACACUACACCGUGAUGCACCACCAACACCGCACUUGCCUCUGGAGGGUAUGACAUCAAGGAAACCCUGCUCGCUCAGACAGCCUGUGAUAUUUUCUCAAACCGCUGCGCUGAACAAGUUUCCAAAGAACAUGCUGUGUGACACAAUAAAUAUCCUUUAACCUGUUAACCUGUGGCUUCUGGAAGAAACUCGGGUGAGUCAGUCACUGCAAACACAUUUGUAUCAUCAAGUGUUUGUCAAAUGAAAAUGAUAUGUUUUUCUACACUUAGGAUAAUUUUCUAUGUUGCAGUGCAGUAAAGUGCAUGUUUCUUCUGUGUUCAAUCAUACAUGUUCUAAUUGUUAUAAACAGAAAAAAUCUUUUCUUACUUAACUGCUUGAUUCUUAACUUGUUUAACUGAAACAUGAUGAAAUGUCAUAGUAUUAUUUUUUUUAAAUGUCCUUGGCAGUGCAUGUGUCCGCAUUGUAACUUACUAAUAAAAAGUCCUGUGUGUA